rnacentral:lncRNA from 1 species
UUACUAACAUUCUAUCUUGAAAUCAUUCCACAUUUUGGGCCUAUUAGUAGAAAUUACGUUUGGCCCAUUGCUUUUACGAGGCAAUAACAAUCAAGGCCCAAUUACGGUGAUAAGCUUCAACCAAGCUAACAUUCAUUCUAACUCUUAAUUUCUAGCUUUACAAAUUAGUCACUAAGAUAAAGGAUUAAAUUCAAAACCAAGGCAAAAUGAACUGGAGAGCCCAUUAUUUCAUUGAAGAAAAUUCUUGUAACUUAAAGUUCCCAUAUCAUCACUUCACAAGACAAAUUGCUUACUAAGGAAACUACUCAAAAUAGAUAAGAAAAAUUGGAUUAUUAAUGAGAUUAACCAUAUGAUUUGCUAAGAAAAUUAAAGGAAUGAACUAAGAGGAAACGUACUCAAAAGCGUACUGUUCAAACACAGAAAACUAAGAAACAAAAGUCAUCCAUAUCACACAAAUUAAAUCAAUACAAACAUGAUCCAGAACAUUAGCGAGAAGAACAAAUUCGAAAAGGGAGAUGAACCUUUGUAUUAAUGAGGCAAACCCAGAAUUAGAAUUUUGGCCAGAACAAAUUGAAUGACAACCGGAUCUGAAGGCCACCCCGCGGGAACCUCAAAACUCGCCGGGUAAAGCUCAUCGGAAAAUUCGACUCGAACCCGAUAAAAAAUAUUGUUGUUUUGUGAGGAAAGACGGCUGUUUUCGAGCUAUUUUUCAGCUGAAUUUGGAGCUUUUUUGGGGCUGAUUCGGCAACUGUUUUGGGGUCGUUUGGGACGAAAAGGGGGCUGGUUUUGACAGCGUUUUUGGGGCUGUUUCUGGGUGGAUUUUAGCUGCGUUUAAGCACUGAUUUUUAGCUGUUUGGUGGCUGAAGAGGAAGGGCGAUUUUGCUGCAUUUUUGGGGGUAUUUUAGAGCUGCGUUUCAACUGGAUUUUCAAGGUGUUUGUGGUGAUGUUUAGGUGGUGUUUUGGAGGUGAAAACGAGAGCUUCUAAUGGAGGAGAAUGGGCAGGGAGCUAUGGCUGCCUUCAGCUAAAUUUUCACCAAGAGAAAGGGGCUCUUUUCAUUUUUGUCCAGAUCUAUUUUUCGGUCCUCCCUCACCUCUGUGUUUUCCAUUCUUCUUUUUCUCGUGUGGGUCCCUAAAUUGUGUGAGUGAGUGGAAGAUAUAUAGGUGUAGGUAUAGAGAUUAAUUGGUGGCAUGUGAGUUUUGAGGGAGAGCAUGUGAGUUUGUUAUAAAGGAUAAGGAAGACUCUUGCCACAUGGUAAUGACUCAUUGACUUUUGCUUUAAUUAAUAUUUUUUAUUUUCUUUUAAGAGUGUAAAAUAAAAAUAUUAGCUAAAUAUUUUUAAAAAUCAAGAACAUAUAAUUUUUUUUAGUGAUUUUUAAUUUUCUUAAAUAAAACCUACUAAAAAUGAAAUAAAUGUUAAAAUAUGUAGAUUAAAUUUAAAAUUAUUUACAUACUAAAAAGUGUUGAAAAAUCACAAGUAUGGUAAAAAAUUAGGUGAUCACAGCUGCCCCUCUUUGCUUGGGAACAUGAAGAGUUUUCAGGCAAAGACAAAUUGAACCGUGUGACUAAUUUUUGACCAAAUCUUUAUUCAAAAGGGAAAAUAAACAAAGGAAAGGGUGCAACCGAGUCCUGGUUUUGGACAGCCUACAUAUCCCGGGUCAUAAGGGAAUCAGGUCGCGUGUAGUUUAAGGAGAGUGAUGGAGUGAUGGGUUGAGUAGUCGAGUGAGGUUCCGUCGAGGCUCCGGUCCGUGGUCGUGUUAUUAUAUCAAAAUCAAAACUUAAAGGAACUAAACAACCCUAUCAGCUAUGAGUUACAAGAUUCCUAUCUAUAGGUUUUCUGAAGCUUGAUCUUGAGUCUUGAAUGGUUCUUCAUGCAGACUUUUGAUUUGAACCUUGAUGCUUGCUAGCUGCAGGUGCUAGUUCAUUCUUCUAUGGCUUCUUCAGAUAAAAACGGGGAAUGCAGUGCUCGUGACUUCAGC